rnacentral:tRNA from 1 species
AGUUAAUGAACUUGAAUAAGUAUAUACUUUGAAAGUAUAUUAUAGAAAUUAAAAUUUUCUAUUAACUU